AGGGAUAUUGGUCAAUGGGGGAAACCCUGAACCAGCAACGCCGCGUGAGGGAAGACGGUUUUCGGAUUGUAAACCUCUGUCCUCUGUGAAGAUGAUGACGGUAGCAGAGGAGGAAGCUCCGGCUAACUACGUGCCAGCAGCCGCGGUAAUACGUAGGGAGCGAGCGUUGUCCGGAUUUACUGGGUGUAAAGGGUGCGUAGGCGGCUAUGCAAGUCAGUAGUGAAAUCCAUGGGCUUAACCCAUGAACUGCUAUUGAAACUGCACAGCUUGAGUGAAGUAGAGGUAGGCGGAAUUCCCGGUGUAGCGGUGAAAUGCGUAGAGAUCGGGAGGAACACCAGUGGCGAAGGCGGCCUACUGGGCUUUAACUGACGCUGAGGCACGAAAGCGUGGGUAGCAAACAGGA
rnacentral:rRNA from 1 species